rnacentral:rRNA from 1 species
UACGUAGGGUGCAAGCGUUGUCCGGAAUUAUUGGGCGUAAAGAGCUCGUAGGCGGUUUGUCGCGUCUGCUGUGAAAACUGGAGGCUCAACCUCCAGCCUGCAGUGGGUACGGGCAAACUAGAGUGCGGUAAGGGAGAUUGGAAUUCCUGGUGUAGCGGUGGAAUGCGCAGAUAUCAGGAGGAACACCGAUGGCGAAGGCAGAUCUCUGGGCCGUAACUGACGCUGAGGAGCGAAAGCAUGGGGAGCGAACAGG